rnacentral:rRNA from 1 species
GAAAGGGUGAGUAAUGGAUAGGUAACGUACCUCGUGCUCUGGAAUAGCGUCAGUUCACCUUCGGGUGGACAUCCGAAAGGGGCGGUAAUUCCGGAUAAUAUCAUCGGUCGAUAGCCCGGUGAUCAAAGAUUUAUCGGCACUUAGGCGGCCUUUCUCUUAUCAGCUUGUUGGUGAGGUAAUGGCUCACCAAGGCUAUGACGGGUAGCGGGACUGAGAGGUUGGCCCGCCACAUCGGGACUGAGACACUGCCCGGACCUCCACGGAGGGCUGCAGUAACGAAUCUUGCGCAAUGGGCGAAAGCCUGACGCAGCGACGCCGCGUGUGGGAGGAAGUCUUUCGGGAUGUAAACCACUGUCAGGGGUAAGAAAGUUCACUCCGGUGGAUUGAUCGAACCCAGAGGAAGUCACGGCUAACUUCGUGCCAGCAGCCGCGGUAAGACGAAGGUGACAAGCGUUGUUCGGUAUUACUGGGCUUAAAGCGUGUGUAGGCGGAAUAGUAAGCGUCUUGUGAAAUCCCCCGGCUUAACCGGGGAACUGCUUGACGAACUGCUGUUCUUGAGGCAAGUAGGGGUGCACGGAACUCUUGGUGGAGCGGUGAAAUGCGUAGAUAUCAAGAGGAACGCCGGUGGAGAAAUCGG